CGCCGCCUUCCUCGCCGUCGCCGCCGCCGCCGCUAGCCUCGGCAAGGCGACAGAGUACGAGAGGGCGCUGUUCCGGGCGCUCUCCGCGCUCGUCGGCGAGGACAGGGACACGGAGGUGGCCGUCGAUCGGUCCAGGUUGCCUCUCGCGGUGGCUUUCAUAUGAUUUCUCCUGCCGAUUUGGAAGGAGCCACAAAGUUGACUGGUGAAACUGAACAGCGUUCUUGCUCGUGUGUGACAGCUGCUCAGGGAGUUCCCCAGGGAUCUCAUGUCCCUCAGGAGAGCGCAACUCAUCUGCUUCUAUGUCGGACGGCCAGACACAUCCCUCGAAUUUGUUUAACAAAACCGGAUAUCCCACUGGCCAUCAUCAUACGACGGGAGGCCAUAAUACCCCACGCCUCCUUCUCGGGCGAUACUAUGGAUUCAGCUUGACCACGCUCCGAACUGCGCAUGCUGGAAACCAAGGCAAUCGGCUUUGGGCCACUUGGCAUGUGAGCACCGCCCGCUGAUACGUCUCCAACCUAUCUAUAAUUUUUAAUUGUUUCAUGUUGUUAUAUUAUCAUUCUUGGAUGUUUUAUGAUCAUUUUAUAGCAAAUUUAUAUCAUUUCUUGCGACUAACCUAUUGUCAUAGCGUGCAGUGUCAGUUGCUGUUUUUUUCCUUUACAGAAAAUCAAUACCAGAUGAAGUCCAAAUGCCAUGAAACUUUUUGGAGAAUUGUUUUGGACCA